rnacentral:lncRNA from 1 species
GUUUCGAUGUUUCCCUUGACUUGUAUGCGUGUUUUUAACAACACGGAAAAUCAGAAUUAAGCAGUAUUUAUAUUUAGUGCUUUUAUAAAUUUAGAAACAUGUCAGAAGGAAUUCCCCAGUUUUGAUAACAUGCGAGAGUUCUCUAAAUUUCAUUCGAUAAAUCUAUUUCAGUCAUAUAAGAACUGAAGUGGAGUUUCUUAUAUGUCACCGUUAUGAAACUGAUAUUUGAUAUUGUACUUCCAUAAAGAAAUGGAUGUCGUUUAAUAAACAUUUAAUAUACAUCCUGGCUACAAAUCAAAAGUCUAGGGUUUGUUUAUGUAAUUAUGGGCAUGCCUAUAGUUUUCUUGACUUGAAGGGGUAUCAGAUUGAAUGGUUGCUCUGGAUUCCCCACUCCAUUGAUUAAUUUGAAACUCACAAGAUCCUUUCUAUGUCUGUUUGCUAUUGAGGGUUAUUGUUGUUGCAUAAUUUUAAAUCAUAUGCAUCAUUUGAAUUAAAAUAAAUUUAGUCCACAACGUAAAGGUGUAACUAGAACACACCUUCAGCCAAAAUGGAGUCUUCCAUAUUAUCGCUUUAAGUUUUCUCCCUUCCGUAAGUAACUUCCAUCAAAAGACGAUACGUCGAGAAAAAUUAACUUGUUCUGUCGAUAGACGUUGUAUUAUAUUAAAACCGAUCACAAUUUAAACCGAGGAAUGUGUACGGAAAGGAGUCAUGCUAACUGACCCAAAGGAAUUUUAUAUUUAAAGAGUUAGGAAUGGGGUUCCACCUAGAAUUCACAUAGGAAAAUAGGUGAUAAGGUACGAAGUGAAAUACCUUCUCUCACUCUCAGUGACUGCUAAGGAAAGUAAACUUGGAAUUGAUAGUACAAAAACAAAACACAAUAAGUGCAUUGUUCAUACACUUGUAUUGAGGAUUGGCUAUUUUUAAAGUUGAAUAACUAUUCAGAUUACGUAAAGUACAUUUUACGAGCAUUUUACACGUGCAGUUCAAUUAUUUUUGAAAAUACAUGUAAUACUAAUACAUGUAUCAAUAAAAACAAUGGCAAUCAUAUCCCUC